rnacentral:rRNA from 1 species
GACGAACGCUGGCGGCGUGCUUAACACAUGCAAGUCGAACGGAAAGGCCCUGCUUUUGUGGGGUGCUCGAGUGGCGAAAGGGUGAGUAACACGUGAGUAACCUGCCCUUGACUUUGGGAUAACUUCAGGAAACUGGGGCUAAUACCGGAUAGGAGCUCCUGCUGCAUGGUGGGGGUUGGAAAGUUUCGGCGGUUGGGGAUGGACUCGCGGCUUAUCAGCUUGUUGGUGGGGUAGUGGCUUACCAAGGCUUUGACGGGUAGCCGGCCUGAGAGGGUGACCGGCCACCAUGGUCCUGCGGUACGGCCCAGUCUCGUACGUGCGGCAGCAGUGGGGAAUCUUGCACAAUGGGCGGAAGCCUGAUGCAGCAACGCCGCGUGCGGGAUGACGGCCUUCGGGUUGUAAACCGCUUUCGCCUGUGACGAAGCGUGAGUGACGGUAAUGGGUAAAGAAGCACCGGCUAACUACGUG